GGGGUGUUGGUCAAGUCGGUUAAGACACUGUCCUUUCAAGGCAGUAACGCGGGUUCGAGUCCCGUACACCCUACCA
rnacentral:tRNA from 1 species